GAUGAACGCUGGCGGCGUGCCUAAUACAUGCAAGUCGAGCGAACAGAUGAGGAGCCUGCUCCUCUGACGUUAGCGGCGGACGGGUGAGUAACACGUGGAUAACCUACCUAUAAGACUGGGAUAACUUCGGGAAACCGGAGCUAAUACCGGAUAAUAUAUUGAACCGCAUGGUUCAAUAGUGAAAGACGGUUUUGCUGUCACUUAUAGAUGGAUCCGCGCCGCAUUAGCUAGUUGGUAAGGUAACGGCUUACCAAGGCAACGAUGCGUAGCCGACCUGAGAGGGUGAUCGGCCACACUGGAACUGAGACACGGUCCAGACUCCUACGGGAGGCAGCAGUAGGGAAUCUUCCGCAAUGGGCGAAAGCCUGACGGAGCAACGCCGCGUGAGUGAUGAAGGUCUUCGGAUCGUAAAACUCUUUUAUUAGGGAAGAACAAAUGUGUAAGUAACUAUGCACGUCUUGACGGUACCUAAUCAGAAAGCCACGGCUAACUACGUG
rnacentral:rRNA from 1 species